CUGUGGGGUCCUGUGGGGUCCUAUAGGGUUCUAUGGGGUUCUGUGGGUCCCAUGGGGUCCUAUAGGGUUCUGUGGGUCCGGUGGGUCCUAUAGGGCUGGAGGUUCUGUGGGUGCUGUGGGUCCCAUAGCGUUGUGUGUCCUAUGGGGCCCUAUAGGGUUCUGUGGGUCUUAUGGGGUCCUAUAGGGUUCUGGGGGGUUCUGUGGGUCCUGUGGGGUCCUAUAGGGUUCUAUGAGGUUCUGUGGGAUCCUAUAGGGUUCUAUGGGGUUCUGUGGGUCCUGUGGGGUCCUAUAGGGUUCUAUGGGGUUCUGUGGGUCCUGUGGGGUCCUAUAGGGUUCUAUGGGGUUCUGUGGUUCCUGUGGGGUCCUGUGGGGUUCUAUGGGGUUCUGUGGGUCCUGUGGGGUCCUAUGGGGUUCUGUGCGUCCUGGGGGGGUUCUAUGGGGUUUUGUGGGUCCUGUGGGGUCCCUAUAGGGUUCUAUGGGGUUCUGUGGGUCCUGUGGGGUCCUAUAGGGUUCUGUGGGGUUCUGUGGGUCCUGUGGGGUCCUAUAGGGUUCUGUGGGGUCCUGUGGGUCCUGUGGGGUCCUAUAGGGUUCUAUGGGGUUCUGUGGGGUUCUGUGGGUCCUAUAGGGCUGGAGGUUCUGUGGGUGCUGUGGGUCCCAUAGCGCUGUGUGUCCUAUGGGGCCCUAUAGGGUUCUGUGGGUCUUAUGGGGCCCUAUAGGGUUCUGUGGGUCUUAUGGGGUCCUAUAGGGUUCUGGGGG
ensembl:lncRNA